GCUGUCAACCCUCUCAUAUACCGAGGGUGCACCAGCCUAAGUGCCUCUACUUUCUCAACUGCGGCAACAUAUCACCGUGAAAGAUGUGGUCCCUCAGGCAGAACCCAUGUAUGAAGUCGUCUUUUUGCCUCAGACUGUUUGACAGCUGCUUCCUUGUUUGGAUGUUACUUCUUUGUAGGCACAAUUUCUUUGGCUUCUUUCAUCUUCUUUUACUCAUCAUAUCUCCAUGUACCCUUGAGACUCCAAUCAUUGACUCCUUGUUUAUGGAUACAAGCUGGUCUCCAGGCUUCAGUCUUCCAUCCUAAACAGUAACAAUAAAGAAUCCAAGUGUGGCAUUCUGUAUUGAUUGUUGAUGAAGAUGCAACUGAAACAAUUUUCUAAUUGCAACAGUUUAACAUGUAUUUUUGAACCUAUGAAUUUAAGAAACAGUCAAGGCUGUCCAGACUUUCUGCCUGGACCAGUAUGUUUAAUCUGUAAAUUAGUAGUUUCCAUUGGUAAUAUACAUCUUUUGUGCUGCUGCUUAUGCAAUGAAAGAACGUGUUGUAUGUGCUAGAUUUCAAAAGACACAAAGAAACAAUCAAUACUAUAUUCAACAAUUUGGUUCUAUAAAUCAGUAUCAAACAUUCAAAAAUUGUUGCCGUGCAGAAAAGCUAUGGAUGCACCAGACUCACUAUUAUAACUGCUUUGAGGGAAAAAUAUGCUGACCAAUUUUUCCAACCACCCAACUAUAUACUAUUCAUUUUUAAUAAACACUAUAUUAUUAAUUGCCUGACAACCACAGAAU